UGGGGAAUCUUGGACAAUGGGCGCAAGCCUGAUCCAGCCAUGCCGCGUGGAUGAUGAAGGCCUUAGGGUUGUAAAAUCCUUUCGUUGGGGACGAUAAUGACGGUACCCAAAGAAGAAGCUCCGGCUAACUUCGUGCCAGCAGCCGGCGGUAAUACGAAGGGGGCUAGCGUUGUUCGGAUUUACUGGGCGUAAAGCGCGUGUAGGCGGAUUUGUAAGUUGGGGGUGAAAUCCCGAGGCUCAACCUCGGAACUGCCUCCAAAACUACAAGUCUGGACCUAAGUAGAGGCAAGUGGAAUUGCGAGUGUAGAGGUGAAAUUCGUAGAUAUUCGCAGGAACACCAGUGGCGAAGGCGACUUGCUGGACUUAUGGUGACGCUGAGACGCGAAAGCGUGGGGAGCAAACAGGAUUAGAUACCCCCGUAGUCCCUGAGCGGGCUGGCAAGGCGCAU
rnacentral:rRNA from 1 species